rnacentral:rRNA from 1 species
CGGGGGGGGCAAGCGUUGUUCGGAAUUACUGGGCGUAAAGGGCUCGUAGGUGGCCAACUAAGUCAGACGUGAAAUCCCCAGGCUCAACUUGGGAACUGCGUCUGAUACUGGAUGGCUUGAAUUCGGGAGAGGGAUGCAGAAUUCCAGGUGUAGCGGUGAAAUGCGUAGAUAUCUGGAGGAAUACCGGUGGCGAAGGCGGCAUCCUGGACCGAUAUUGACACUGAUGAGCGAAAGCCAGGGGAGCAAACGGGAUUAGAUACCCCGGUAGUCCUGGCCCUAAACGAUGAAUGCUUGGUGUGACGGGUAUCGAUCCCUGUCGUGCCGAAGCUAACGCAUUAAGCAUUCCGCCUGGGGAGUACGGUCGCAAGGCUG